UGUUGCAGUCAGACAGUAUGACAUAGUCUAUAUUGAUGUUUUUAGAAGUAUUUUAUACAGUUGACCCUUUAACUGCAUGGGUCCACUUAUACAUGAGUUUUCUUCUCCUCUGCCAUCUCUGAGAGAGAAAAACCAACCCCUUCUCAUCCUCCUCCUCCUCUGCCCCUACUCAACAUGAAGAUGAUGAGCAUGAAGAUGUUGAUGACAAUCUACUUCCAGUUAAUGAAGAGUAAAAGUAUUUUCUCUUCCUUAUAAUUUUAAUAAUAUUUUCUCAAUUAUAAGAAUACAGUACAUAAUACAUAUAACAUAUAAAAUAUAUGUUAAUCAGCUUUAUGUUAUCAGUGAGGCUUCAGGUCAACAGUUGGCUAUUAGCAGUUAAAUUUUGGGGGAGUCAAAAGUUAUAUAUGGAUUCUUAACUACUCAGGAGACUGGGAA